rnacentral:pre_miRNA from 1 species
UCUUAUGGGUGAGCAGAGAAAGUGGUUUUUUGAGACGGAACCUACUCCCGGUGAAGAUGGUGUGAA